AGUUUGGACAAUAAGUGAUCGGAAUAUUGAUAAAUUAGUGAGAUUUUUUUCCUUUUAAAAGGAAAAUAUCUUCCGGAGCUAGGGAAUUUAUGUAUUGGUGAUAAGGUUAAAUUCUUCGUAAUAUAAUAAAAAAAGGAAGUAUACUUGCCUUAAUUCUAAUCGCUCCAACUUUGAACAGUAAGAAGCAAUAGCAUCCAUAAGUUGAUCAACGUGAAUGUUCACGGAGAGGCGUUCAGUGGUACCCAUUACGAGGAUCCGAGCAUUGGUUAGGAUGGGCAAGACACUCAUCCAGAGUUGAUCAGUGAUGUGUGUCAUCCCGGAGAGUACGAGAGCAUGUAGCUGUCCACCGUGGCGCGAUAGGAACUUGAGGAGGGCUUCGUCGGAUAAGUUGUCCGAUGCUUCGAGAUUGAGAGCUAUGAGGGAUUUAGUGUUGCCACCUUCCAUCCAUGCCUUGAGUACGGUAUCAUUGAAGCCGUUGAUUUGUCCAGCACUAAGGAAGCGCAAUGAAGGAAUUCGCACGAGUAGAUCAAUGAGAGCUUCACUACUGAUAUCCGUUGCUGUGAUAUCGAGCUCCAGGAGGGCACAUUUGUCCCAUUCCACCUGCAGGAGGUAUUCAGAUCGAAGGCUUGUGCCAUUCAUGAGGAGGCACGUGAGUCGUUUAGAUCGCUGAAUGAGUGUCUUCAGCGUAGAUCCCGUGACUUUGUUGCAGUAAUUCACAGCAAGGCAUUCAAGUUGGAUGCAAUUGGAGCUGAAUGCAUCAAUAUGUGAGUCAUCGACAAAGUUUAUUCCAUACAGGUUGAUCACACGUAGAUUUGGUGUGGCAGAUUUUAAUUUGUGAACAUUGAUCACCUCAUAAAUUUCUUCUUCCUCUUCCUCGCACUUCUCAUACGUGCCCAGGAGAUGGAGGACCUCAAGGCCGUUUAUAAAAUUAUAGAUUUUUCGCAUAAAACCCUCCAUGAAGAUAACUUCCGAGAGGCAGAUACACAUAUAGCGAAGUUUUGUGGGAAAUGCCUGCAUCUCACUGAAAUCGUGAAGCUGCAUAGCUGUGAGAAUUUUUUUUUUUGAGAAAAUAUUUUAGUCAGUAGCAUAAAACUCUUCGGGACUGCAAAUUGGUUUCUAAAAGGACUCACCAGUUGAGAAAUCGAGCAGCAUGUGUGUGAGAUUAGGACACUUGGCGGCUAAUUCGUGCAGAACUGUGUGCGUGAUCAACUCAAUGGGUAAUUCAAUAUACCGCAGAGAUGGUCCAAAUCUCACCGAAAUCAAUCCCAAAAGAGAUUCGAGUGAUCCCACAUGGAGCCCCGAGACUUCCGGACGAAGUGAGACAUUCUUCCAUAGGCGCGUAUCGUAAGCAACUUGACGCCAUCGACGACAAACCCGUGCCAUACGGCAGAUCUCCAAAUGGCUCAAAUAAGAGAAAAUAUUGAGGAGCACCUUAUCCGGGAGUUUCUCGAUCGUCUGCAGAGAAUACACAUUGGAUAUAUUUCAGCAGGUGUUUCGCUUCAGAUGCUAUGCCAAGAUCUUCGUCAGUGAAGCGACUGCGGUCGUGAUGAAAACAUUUCACUGAUUAUGCGCCAAAAAUAGUUUUGAUGAGUAGAAUUUAUUUUAAUUCAUUUACUUUUAAUUUACUACUUGCACUGUGAAUGUGAAUUUAUUGGGCGCAAAUCACACUCAAGAAUUUUCUAAAUUUUACUUCAAAAACUGACUUUAAGACAAUCAUCCCAUUAAAAUUACACCGGAAAUGGAGAUCCCAUAAAAAUGUAGCAAUAAAUAUUUAAUUGAUUCAGAA